rnacentral:lncRNA from 1 species
ACCCACUCUCCCACCCCCUGUAUGCGACUGAUCGGUGUACGUGUAUCAUCACUCUGCCUGCUAUUCUCUUCGGUAAGAACUCGAAAAGAGUCAUCUACUCUCUUGCAGCUAAGAACCGAAUCUACUACAUUUUUCCUUUUCCCAUUUUCAAAUUUUCUAUACUGAUUGCUUAGACCUUCUCUUUAAUCUUCUCAAGGUAUCCUUCUUUCUUAUGGUAUUAUUUUUGUGUAAUUUUUGGGUAAAUGUUUAACUAAAACUGUUAUAGUAUAAGUGUUGACUAAAAAUAAUCGAAUUAGCUUUGUUUUGAUGUGGUGUUUCUCAUAGUUCUGAACCUCAUUUGCUGAGUGAUUCCAAGAACCCCCUUUCCAGAGUUGAUUGUUUGGUCUCUGAUCGAUUUACCCCUUUCCAUAUUUGGUCGUUUGGUUAUUAAUUUUUGUCGGCAAUCUCAGGAACUCCUCUGCAGAUUUAAUUGUUAGGUUUCUCAUCGAUUUACCCUCUCCCAAUUUGAUUGUUUGGUCUCUCAUCGAUUUCUCUAGACGAAUGGGAGAAAUCAUUUUUGGUCCUAUUGUUCGGUCCAACACACAUGGUAGAUUUUACAAUAGAAGUUUUAUGCUUGUGUUGUUUAUGGUGUUUGUCAAUUCUUAGGCUGAACAGACUAAAAUGAUUUGAGCAGACAUCUUUCACAUCAUUGUUCAUUUGCUUUUCUUUCUCUUUUUUCUUUUAUUUUCCAAUUUUUAUUUUUUCGAUGCUAAACAUAUUUGCAGAUUCACAAUUGGAGUAUGGAAAGAUGACGCUUACAUGGACAGAAACAUUUUGUUAACUGGUAAUUUGAGACCAGAUCCUGUUUUGGCAUGAUGUUUAACAAAAUAUUAACGGUUAUUGGAAAUCUAAUUAUUUCACUUUUGUUUAUUUUCUACGGUUGUAGAGGAACAAAAAAUAGUCCUUUUUGUGUCCUUUUCGAGCUAUAAAGGGACAAUCAAAAUGAAAUAAGUGGUUAACAUUCAACACACUAAAAUACGACUAAUUAAAGAUUGUAAAUUGUCAAUCAUCUUAUGCAGAAACCCCUUUAACAUAUGCAGCACAUACCAGAGAUUGUAAAUUGUCAAUCAUCUUAUGCCGUAUUAUUUUUAUGUAAUUUCUUGUUUGAUUUGUAUACAUAUGAAUACUGAUAUAGAUAGUGAAGUUGAAGCUAUUGGUGAAACUCCUUCAACAUCUGUUCCUCCACUUCCACCAUCAUGUUUAGGGAAGAGAAAAAAUAGAAAAUCUUUGAAUGUGUGGGAACAUUAAACAGUUAUAGGGAAUCCAAACCCAGAAGAUGUUAGGUGUGCAUGCAACUAUUUUGGGCAGGAUUAUGCUUGUGGGGCUAGGAAGUAUGGGACUAGUACCUUGAGGAAUCAUUUGGUUCUUUAUUGUAAGAAGUAUCCAGGAAGAUUGGAAGAUAAAUGACAAAAAAGCCCAACUGAGGGUGGUGUGAACAUUCUAGUUGGCUUUAAUAAGGAAGAGUGUAGGCUUGCAUGUGCUAAGAUGAUAAUUUUGGAUGAAUCACCUUUUAGCUUUGUUGAAGGUGAGGGUUUAGACAAUUUUGUAAGGUAGCAUGCCCUAAAUUUCAACCUCCAUCUCGUAGAACUGUUGUUAGAGAUAUUUAUCAGUUGUAUUUCGAUCAAAAAUUACAAUUGAAAAAGAUCAUCCAACGUCAAAAAGUUUCUCUUACUACUGAUACUUGGAGUUCCAUUCAAAAUAUUAAUUAUAUGUCUCUCAUAACACACUAUGUUGAUUUUGGUUGGAAGUUUCAUAAGUGGAUUUUGGGUUUCUGUGUGAUUGCCAAACAUAAAGGUGAAACCAUUGGUAAAGUUAUUGAGGCUUGUUUGCGUGUAUGGGGCUAUUGAGAGAUUGUGUACAAUUACAGUUGACAAUACAACUACAAAUGAAACGUCUAUUUCUUAUAUUAGGAGGAAGAUGAUUGGUCAAAGUGGUGAUGAUGUGUUUUAGAUGGAAAGUAUAUGCAUAUGGGUGUUCAUAUUGUUAAUUUGAUUGUGUGAGAGGGGUUGAAGGAAUCACAUGAUUCAAUUGGAAGAUGUGGAGGAAUAUAAUAAGUUGGAUGGAGGUAAUGAAGUUAUUCCAUAAAUUAUGUUAAAUAUGUAUUUUAUCAAAUUUGUUCCUAACUUGAUUAUUAUUUUUUGUAGAGCUUUUGGAAUCAAAGAAAUCAAAUGAAGGCUAAAUCAAUGUGAUCAGUUCAUUUCUAAAUUUUUGAGGUAGAUAUGUAUCCUAAUGUGUAUAACUUUUUAUUAAUGUAAUAUUUAUCUUCUCUCCAAGUAUUUUUAUUAUUUUAGUUGUAGGAAUGAUGCUUAAANAAAUUAAAUUAC